UAAGAUUACACUUUCAAUGACCUCCUAAUAUGUUAAUAAUAAUUGAUUUUUCUGUAAAAGGUUUAGUAGGUCAUAUUCAUAAAAUGUUUUUAUUAAAAAAAAAAAAUUUUUUGGUAAAUAAGAAAAUGAGGUUAAUUAAGCCUUUGUUAUUUGUUCAUUGGGAAAGAGCUUUGGCAAAAACAAUUCAGUUUCCGAUUACAACCAAAAUUCAAAAAUCGCUAUUCAGUCAGUACUUGGAGAAAAAGAAAGAUGAAAAAGAAGUGCCUCUACCUGGAAAAUGUAACUUGCCUGCUGUUAGUAUACCAGAAACUUUUAAUGAAUCUGCCAAAGCAUUUCUAAAAAUGCAGAAUAAAUCUGUAAAUGAAGUUGCGAUUAAUCUUUUAAACUACUUGUCUUCUAGAAGGACGCAAAUUAAAAGGUCAGAGAAAAAGAAAAAUUUUAAAAGUCCUUCGGGAAAUAAAUUUACAAGUUUACAAGAAAAACUGGAAGUUAUAGAAAUGUUGGAAAACCAGGAAGAUUUUCAAAUAAAAGGUUUAAAAACACAAGAACUGCAGGAUAUCGUGUGGAAGCGUGUGUUAUAUAAUCAUGAAAAUACUGCAGCUUUUUUAUUGGCAAGAAGUGCUGGUUGUUAUGCUUCUGCAUUUCGAGUGUUAAGUAAUUUAAAAAAUGAUGUUGAAGAUUUUAAUCCCAAAAGCAUUUUAGAUGUGGGUUCAGGAACAGGAACAAAUAUGUGGGCAGCAAAUAGUCUUUGGAAAGAUUCCUUGAAGCAGUAUGUGUGCGUAGAUGUGUCAGAUCAAAUGAACAAACUUUCGCAUUAUAUUGUAACAGCUGGAGAUUUAAACGCCCCCCCACCAAGCGGCGUUUUUAUACGUAGGUUUCUGCCGGUUUCUUUUAAAUCUGUUUAUGACAUUGUAAUUGCUUCAUAUACACUGUCAGAAUUGCCUACUUCAAAAGAAAGACUAACUCUGCUCAAACUUUUGUGGGAGAAAACAUCACAAUAUUUAGUUCUAAUUGAGUAUGGUAACUUCAAUGGUUUUCAAAUUAUUAUGGAAGCCAGGAAUCUUCUGUUAAGGGGUAUGGAAGGUAAUAACGAUGAUAAACCAUGGAAAUCUUGGCAGAAAGAUGCUUCUGUAGUAAUACCAUGCCCACAUAGUAAACCGUGUCCAGUUUGGGCUAAAAAAGAUACAUGUACAUUCAGUCAAACUUAUAAUGUUCCUGGUUUUGCAAAAGCGCUGAACAAAAAACAAACUAUCAAGGAACAGUUUACUUUUGUUGUGUUUGAGAAAAACUCUAACAGUAAUAUGAACAAGUUGCCACGAAUUAUACGUGGUCCUUUUACCCAGAAAACAUGCGUAAACUGCUUCGUUUGUAACAAAGAUGGAGCAUUGGAAAAUAUUCAAAUUCAUAAAAAUGUUCACGGAGCUGGUUUGAAAACUAUCGUAAAAAAGUGCAAGCAAGGAGACUAUUUUCCCCUUGAAAAUUUGGACCAAGUAAUAAAUUAAACUAGCAACAGUUAAAUUUUUCCACCCAAGGUACAAGGUUAACCAAUUCAGUGCAAAAUUUUUGUAAUUAGAACUGAUAUUUUCUAGGAAGAAAUAUUAAAAUACUUUCCACCAAUUUCUGCUAGUGGUUCAAUUUUUCUUUGUUUAACAUAAUAUUUUUGUAACAGAACUUAGGAUUCAGUUCAAAAGACUAUAAUACAGUGUAUUACAGGUAUUAUGGUAUUGUGUUAAUUGAUAAGCUGCUCGUAGAAUGGGAAAAAACGUACAGGUUAAUAUCAAGUUUUUUGCAAAGAGUCGAGAAUUAGUUGGAAUUGAAUCAGAACAACUUAUUUUACCACAAGACAUUACUUCAUUUCAAUUGAUUGAAACUAUUAAUUCAAAAUAUCCAAGGUUAUCUGAUCUUCAAGGGUGUUUUACGCUCGCUGUCAACGGAGAAUAUAUCAAAACUGACGAAUCGUAUUCCAUUUUAUUGACUGAUCAAAGCGAGAUUGCAGUUAUACCGCCGCUCAGUGGUGGUUAAUUUCCUCAAUAAUGAACGACAUCGUUUUCACCAACGAUGCGCUUAAUGUUCAGGCUGCUGUUGAUAAAGUUUCAUCUGAAACUUGUGGGGCUGUUUCCAUAUUUUUAGAUUAUGAAUGUUAUGGACAAAUGGCUCACAAAGAACUGGAAAAAAUUUGCGAACGCUUGAGAGAAAAAUGGCCCGACAUUCUACAUAUAUUAAUCCAUCACCGAUUAGGGUCAGUGCCUGUAAAAGAGUCCAGCGUUCUCAUUGCAAUAUCAUCACCUCAUAGGGUAGAUGCAAUGGCAGCCACUCAGUAUUGCAUUGAUAACCUCAAGGCAAAAGUCCCAA